rnacentral:rRNA from 1 species
GAUGAACGCUGGCGGCGUGCUUAACACAUGCAAGUCGAACGAUGAUGGGAGCUUGCUCCUGGAUUAGUGGCGAACGGGUGAGUAACACGUGAGUAACCUGCCCUUAACUCUGGGAUAAGCCUGGGAAACUGGGUCUAAUACCGGAUAUGACUCCUCAUCGCAUGGUGGGGGGUGGAAAGCUUUAUUGUGGUUUUGGAUGGACUCGCGGCCUAUCAGCUUGUUGGUGAGGUAAUGGCUUACCAAGGCGACGACGGGUAGCCGGCCUGAGAGGGUGACCGGCCACACUGGGACUGAGACACGGCCCAGACUCCUACGGGAGGCAGCAGUGGGGAAUAUUGCACAAUGGGCGCAAGCCUGAUGCAGCGACGCCGCGUGAGGGAUGACGGCCUUCGGGUUGUAAACCUCUUUCAGUAGGGAAGAAGCGAAAGUGACGGUACCUGCAGAAGAAGCGCCGGCUAACUACGUGCCAGCAGCCGCGGUAAUACGUAGGGCGCAAGCGUUAUCCGGAAUUAUUGGGCGUAAAGAGCUCGUAGGCGGUUUGUCGCGUCUGCCGUGAAAGUCCGGGGCUCAACUCCGGAUCUGCGGUGGGUACGGGCAGACUAGAGUGAUGUAGGGGAGACUGGAAUUCCUGGUGUAGCGGUGAAAUGCGCAGAUAUCAGGAGGAACACCGAUGGCGAAGGCAGGUCUCUGGGCAUUAACUGACGCUGAGGAGCGAAAGC